GAUGAAGAACGCAGUGAAAUGCGAUAAGUAAUGUGAAUUGCAGAAUUCAGUGAAUCAUCGAAUCUUUGAACGCACAUUGCGCUACUUGGUAUUCCGAGGGGCAUGCCUGUUCGAGCGUCAUUAUAACCCCUCAAGCUCAGCUUGGUGUUGGGGCCUGCUGCACUGGCAGCCCUUAAAAUCAGUGGCGGCGCCAUCUGGCUCUAAGCGUAGUAAUUCUUCUCGCUAUGGAGUCCUGGUGGAUGCUUGCCAUCAACCCCCAAUUUUUCUAUGGUUGACCUCGGAUCAGGUAGGGAUACCCGCUGAACUUAAGCAUAUCAAUAAGCGGAGGA
rnacentral:misc_RNA from 1 species